GCUAGAUGCUGAGGGUAGAUGGGUAGCCUCAACAGCCGAAGGAGCUUUUCUACUUAAAGGCCCAUGGUAGGGCAAAUUUCAAAUUGACACACAGCAAAAUUACAAACACAGAAGGCAUAUGCUGAAUUCCGGCUCUGCGGUGAAGCAGAUGUAUGCUUAACUCCAGGCUUGGCCACUGGUUGAUUGUGUUGUUCGGUCUGAGUUACCUAAUCAUGCAUGCCAUGUGAUCUAAAGGAUUUGCCAAUACUAUAUUGAAAGCCCUUACCACAGCAAGAAAAUGGAAGAACAAAAACAGACUACUGAGUAAGGAAAGGAGGAUUGAAAAAGAGUAAGUGGAUACCCAUAAUCCCAAUACCUGGGAGGUGGAGGCAGGAGAAUUAGGAGCCCAAGGCUAGGCUAGGUUGAACUGUCUGUGAUGACAGAAAGAGAAGGGAUAGGUGAGUGGGGAGAGAGGAGCAGUGAUAUACAUUCAAAUAUAUUCCUAAAAACAUAAAUACAUCCUGCUCAGUCUGUAUAAUGCUACUUGUAUGUCUGUGUUUUCAGGCUGACCAUUAGGUAUUGGAUAACCAAAUAGCGUGCUCUCCCCUGGGAAGACUAUUUCUCCUGCAUUUCUUAGUUGCCUGUAAUUCUUUGUGUAGAGUUGAGGCUUUAUGGGAUUUCCCUCAUCCACUUCAGCAUGUCUAUUGGUGUUGUCCUUGUUUGGCUUGUGUUUAGGCAGACAUGUGGUGGGACUUUAUGGGUGUAGCUUCUGACAUUCCUAGGAGAGACAAUCUCAUAGCAGACCUCCUGAUCUUCUGGUUCUUAAAACCCCACUAUGCCCUCUUCCACAAUGUUCCCUGAACCUUGAGUGCAGGAAUGUUUUGUAGAUGUGUCCUUGGUACUACUGGGUUCCACAACUCUGCUUUUGAUUGGUUGUGGUUUCCUAUAAUGUUCUCCGUAGGAUGUAAAGAGAAUUUUCCUUGUUGACUGGUAAGAGCUACCCUCUUUUUUCUUGGUUUUGUGGUUUUUGGUUUUUUGAGAUGGGGUUUCUCUGUAUAGUUCUGGCUGUUCUAGAACUCACUCUGUAGACCAAAAUGACCUCAAACUCAGAGAUCCACCAGCCUCUGCCUCCUAAGUGCUGGGAUUAAAGGCGUGUACCACCACCACCCAGCAUAAGAACUACACUUACCAGUGGGUAUAACGUCCUACUUUUAACACAUGCCAAAUGCUUCUGUGUUGUCAAAGGCUCAGCUCCCUGACCUAUAAAAUAGAGAUGAGUGUUUUUCUCUUAGUUAUAUACCCUUCUGUGAUUGGUGCUGUAAACAUUGUAACACCAUGUACCACUGGAAUUUGUCUUGCACCAUAAUAGCCAUACUUCUUAAUAUGUGCAAAUAUUGUUGGUAUAUUGGGUGAAAAAAAAUGGACAAAACAUUCCAAAUUCUCAAAUGUAGAAGCAACAGAAGACAGCUCCCAAUUACCGCAGAAGGGAGAGAGAUAAGGGUAUCUUCAAAGAGUGAACCACCUGUGCAAGGCAGGGUUGAGUUAAGAAGCAUAGCAGCCAGUGGUGGUGGUGUGUCAGGGCUCAUAGAAAUGGCUCCGCUUCAUCUUGACUUAAGGUCAGGGAGUUCAAAUCCACUAUUGCUCUCUCAAAGUCAAACAACAGGCUAUUUGGCCUAAGAAGUAACUAAUGGAUGUUUUACCUUGACAACAGGAUAUUUAGCCUAAGGUAUGGCUUUUGUGUAUCUUGACUCGACAACAGGAUACUUGAUGUGGUGUGGUUACUUGAUGUUUUGGGUAUUGAGAAGGAAUGAACCAGGCAAGUCCUUGGAUCCAACAAAAGCCCCCGAAACAAUGUGGGCUACGACAGGACAGUGGCACAUUGCCUUUAAUCCCAGCACUUGGGAGGCAGAGGCAGGCGGAUCUCUGGGAGUUCGAGGCCAGCCUGGUCUACAAAAAAGCAUCUCUGAUGUGUGGGUUAUGAUCAUAACAGAAGAUAAAGACUAGUCCAAACACCUCUCUCCAGCUCACAGAUAUCUCCAAACCUCAUUCCUUUGGGGUUCUCCUGCAUACCACUAGGCAGGCAUGAUGGUUCCCGCCCCUCUUCCCAUCUACUCCCUCCCCCUCCACUUGUCCUCCAUCUCCAUUCAGAAAGGGGAAGGCCUCCCAUGGGCUUGAACAAAGCAGGCUCAGUGACACAGUGAUUUGAUGAUUGGUGACCAUGAUGAUUAAUACUGGCUAUCAAGUUGACUAGAUCCGGACUGAACUAAGAACAUCCGGAUGUUGAAAGACACACCCUCAAUGUGAGCGGUACCUUUUGGUGAUAGUUCAGAUAUAAGCACAUCCAAACUUUUGCUUACCUUGUCCUGCUUGCCUUUAUGUCUUGUUGACAAGUUCAUCUACUCUGCUUGCAGGGUCAUAUACUUAUUGCGCCUGCUGCCACCAUCCUUCACUAGCAUCAGAGCCUGGCCAUGUUGACUUUCCAACAUGAACUGAAGACCCGUGGCUCUCCAGGAGUCAGACAGGCCCUUGGUGCCAGGUUUGGACUGCUGUGGCACCCAGCUUAGUGGAAUGAGAGCAUCUAUUGAUUCUUGUCCCCUCCAAUGAGAAGAUAGCCAUUGUUGCCUCAUGUCUUGCAUGAAAAUGUCCUUAUGCAGCACAGUGCCAUGUGUAAUGAAUAAAUACAAUGAAAAAAUUUUAAAAAAUGACGAAGAAUUUCAAGGUGGUAGCCACAGAACAUCAACCCCUAAAUAUGGGGUCCUACCUGACUGCAUUUUUACAUAUCUAUGAAGCCCUGCCUUAUCAUGGCACAGAGACAUGUGGCCUUCAGCUCUCCUUUCCAACUUCAUUUCCUUAUCGGCAGGUGAGCAUAAAAAUCCAGGCUUCCAAGAUGGCAGCAUAGAUACAAGGAAGUCACAUGGCUAGAGAGAGUUGAUAACCUUGUUUCAAGUCCUGACAUCAUGCUUUGUAUUCUUUCCACAUUUUGUUUGCAGCUGGUGGGUUCUGGCUGCAUCAGAGCCAGUCUGAGUCCCUUUGGUGAGCAGAGCUGACUGAGGGCUCAGAGGUCUGGCAGGAUCUCCAGGUCACAGACACUCCCAUUCCCAUUUCUCCAUUUCCUUUGACGAAGAAUGACCAACAGCUCAAAGGACAUUUCAGUUGGUGGGUCAGUCUCGAAGGACCACUGUUUAGAGUACAUUGGGUACCUCAAAAGUGAUGGUGAUCUCCUCCUCACCUUUCUUUGCCUUCAGGAAAGUGGUUCUGCACUGCAGGGUGAGGCUCCAAGAAGUCACAGCCAUGGCAGAUGCUCCAUGACAUUUGAACAGUACCUCAGAUUGUCUAUGAGGAAAUACCCAGGUCUUCACAGUUUCUCAGGUCGCAAACCAUCACCACACACAGCUCAAGCCAUGCAGCUCAAGCCACACAGCUGUGAUGCCACCCUUCCUGAGACACUAUGAGUAUCCCCUUUGUUGGGUGAAGAAAAAAUGACCCAGAGAAGUGAGAGGGCCUUCUUGGUGAAACACAGUUAGACCUUCGCACAUGUGCAGUGGUGUGAUUGUGUGUGUGUGAUGCCCAUAGACACAAACAAACACAUCAAUGAAUAUAUGAAUAAAUAAGUCCAUUAGUUAAUGAGUGAAUUAAAAGCUGGAUAUGACAAGGUAAACAUACAAUCCCAAAGCUUAGGAAGCAGAAGUAGGAGCCAUCAUGUUUGAUGGCUCUAUAGUCAAGCUGAAUCUGCAAUUCGUGUCUCAAAAAAAAAAAACAAAAAACAAAAACCGAAAAACCAACAACAACAACAACAGGGAAGAUGGGAUGCACUGAACAUGAUCAAAGUACACUAUGUGCAUGCAUGACAUGGUCAAAGAAUAAAUAAAAAACAUUAAAAAAACAAAACCAAGUUGGAUGGCACACACGGUUGACUUUUUUGCCUCCACAGGCACUCACACACACAGCCACAGACACGCAGACAUGAAUCUUAAGUGUGUUCUCAGUACAGUGGCUUGACCAUCUCCAUUAUUCAUAAAAGCUGUCAAUACCCAGAAACCCUCACCUUCCUGUUGUGAUGCCUGAACAGAAUCAGAAAACUGGGGCCAGAUGCCCUGCUCAUCACUGCCAGUGCCCGUCCACAUCUAGCUGUCAGUCCCUUCUGUGUUCUAUCUGGGUCCCCAGUCUGUCCCAAUGACAGUACCACACCUCUUCAGGUGACCAUAAGCAUAGGAAUGUGGAACAACAGGGUCUUAGGCCCAGCGAAUUCAGUAGCCAACAGCAGAGACUAUCCCUACAGCUGUGAGAUGUGCUUCAGGCAUGGAGCUUCCAACCCAGUCUUUCCGGGCAGAAGGCUGUUCCCAUGUUUCCUGUGACAGAUGCGACCCUAUCUUUGAUCCCUCUUUCCAAAAAAAGUUUCAUGCUCCUUUCUUCAAGCCCUUUGUUCCCAGCAUAGCUCCGUGAGGAAUCUGAAGAAAGGCUGUGGGAAGCUAUGUGGAUAUAAUCCCUGGUUGGGGAAGCAGCUGCCCCUCCAGCUGGGUCCAGGUGGUGAGGAUACAAGAUGUGGCGGGUUGGGCUAGGCUCCACAAAGCCAGGCUCUGUGGGCCGCCAUCAUUAUCAUUGCAGACAGCCUUCGGAACAACGGAAACCUCCACGCCCUCAACUCCCCAGAAGAGGGAGAGCAGGAUGGGUGCACCACCUCCCUUCUCAGGAUGUUUUUAAUAAUGCAGACCAGCCCACACAGGGAAGCAAGACCUUGGGAAGCACACAGCCCUCCCCUGCAGGGCUAUGGUGCAGGGCUAUUCUUCCAGCCGGGUUCCCUAGUUUGUAUGAAUUACAGAGAUCCUCAUUGCUGCGUGUAUAACAGACUUCUGUGUGAUGGUCUGGGUGUGAUGUGUAGUUGAUACUGGGAGGAGUGUGUCUUUCUUGGCUGUAUCUCUGGUGUUGUUUUUGUUCUUGGAUGGACUCUUUGUUCUAUGACAGAGAGUACCUACAGACGCUCCAAGAUAACAGAUCUGGCAGGAGACACUUCCUGGUGCAAUCUAGAUUGCUUCUCAUAGCACUGUAGUCCACGAUCCGAUGGUACAUAUGAUGGCAACAAGGAGUCUCAACUCAGGUGACCCUGUUUUCUGGCACUAUUGUCUCCCUAUCACCCAAGCAAGGGGUUCUUGCUCCCUUCUGGUAUCCACUGCAUAUCUGUGCUCACGUGAGCACUGGGUGAGGGUGAGCUAGCAUGCAUGUCAUGUGUGAUAGGUCACCUAUGAGAUGCCGCACACACAUGAGGUGAUAAACCGGUUAGCAGAUAUAAAAUAGGAGAGCCAGGACUACACAGAGAAACUCUGUCCUGAAAAUCCAAACCAAACCAAACCAAAAAAGGCAGAGGUAGAUGGAGGACACCAGGGAAUCAAAGUCUUCUAAAUACAACAGGACUGGAGCACAUAUGAACUCAGAGAGUGUGGCAGCAUGCACCGGGCCUACAUGGGUCUGGACCAGAAGUGGUCCUAGAGCUGAAAGGAGAAGUGGACUCAAGUCCCCAUCCCUAACUCAGAAGCUAUCUCCAAUUGAUAGCCAUUUGCAAGUAAAUAAUUAGUUUUUUUCUCUAAGAAAAUCUCACUGGGAAAAUAAGCCACUCUUAAGGGUAGGCCCGAUGCCCAAAAGUAGAUAACCACCAGAAAACGAACUCCACAGCAUCAUUGGAGGUUCUUUGUCUCAUAUUAAGUCAGGGCAAUUCUUUUUCUACUGUACAGAUCCUUUGUAUAUAUAUCAUGGCUUCCAGUUUUGGAUUUUUAUAGGAUUCUUGAGUGUGAAUAUGUGUGUCCCUAUAUCUAUAUGUGUUUCUUUUAUUUCUUGGGCUUUUUCUUGUUUGGUUGUUUCAUCCUAUUCCAAUUUGUUUGUUUUUGAUGUAUCUUAGUUUAUUAUUAUUCCUUAGGUGCCUGUUUGCUUUCUAAUGAGAGACAGAAGGGGCAUGGAUCUAGAUGGGAGGUGAGGUGGGGAGGAACUGGAAGAGCAAGGGGAUGGGAAACUGUGGUGGUUUGAGAGAAAAUAGCCCCCAAAGGGAAUGGAACUAUUAGGAGGUGUAGUCUUGUGGGAGGCGGGCUUUGAGGUCUCAUAUAUGCUCAAGCUACACCCAUUGAGUCAGACCACUUCCUGUUGCCUGCAGAUCAAGAUGUAUUAACUCUCAUCUCCUUCUCCAGCACAUGUUUGCCUGCGUGUCCCGCCAUGAUGAUAAUGGGAUGAACCUCUGAAAUGGUCAGCCACACAAUUAAAUGUUUUCCUUUAUAAAAGUUGCUGUGGUCAUGGUGUUUCUUCACAGCAAUAGAUAGCCUAACUAGAUGAAACCAUAAUCAGAAUCUAUUGUAUGAAAAAAAUCUAUUGUCAAUAAUAAUAAUUUAAAAAGACACACUCAGGGCAUUAGUGAGACACACCUUUAUGUGUGUGUGUUUGUGUGUGUGUUUGUGUGUGUGUGUGUGUGUGUGUAUGCUUGCAAAGAUUAGCUGAAUGGAAAAGAUAUUCCUGAACCUGAGUGGCACUAUUCCAUGGGCUGAGGUGUCAGACUGACUAGAGAAGAGAAAAAAGAAAGUUAGCCAAGCAUCAAUGUUCUUCCUCUGAGGUGUAAGUGGUUAGCCUCUGACCUUUGUGCCUUCCUGCCGUGGGGAUGACAUUCUCAUCGUGAGACUCUCCUUACUUAAGUUUCCUAUCAGGUGUUCUGCCCCAGUGAUGAGAAAAGGAAAUAAUACAGAAGGACAGCAGCUUGAGAUCCUAUGGCCUUGGUGCAAGCAGACCGGAGUUCAAAUCCUACUACCAUCAUUUCUUAUUCAUAGCUAUGUCUACUUCUCUUUUUUUCUGUACUAUCAGAUGUGGAUGGACACUCAUGAGGACUGAUCAGAUGUGGAUGGACACUCAUGAGGACUGAUCAGAUGUGGAUGGACACUCAUGAGGACUGAUCAGAUGUGGAUGGACACUCAUGAGGACUGAUCAGAUGUGGAUGGACACUCAUGAGGACUGAUCAGAUGUGGAUGGACACUCAUGAGGAUGGAGUGAGAUUGGGAAGGAACUGGAGUUUUGUGGAUCAUGUCUCAGCUCCUCAGAAUGCACUUCCUGUAUUUUUAACUGAGGCAGAAGUCCCUGAUUGUUCCCAGCAGCAGGAGGCAAGGAUGGCUGGCUGAACUCCUGGUGGCCACAUGGGACUGUUGCUGAUAUCAGUGCGGCUUCCCCGAUCCCCACCCCCGGCGGCCUUCCCCCGCCACCCGCGGCACGCCCGGCACGAGAACAAGCACCAGGUGGGCCGGCCCGAGAACGAGCACCAGGUGGGCUGGCCCGAGAUCGAGCACCGGGUGGGCCGGCACGAGGGCGAGCACCAGGUGGGUCGGCACGAGAACAAACACCAAGUGAGCCGGCCUGGAGCCCUGCCCCUGAGCCCCCGCCCGAUGAGAAACACUCCGUCCCAAGGUCUCCGCCCCCAAG
ensembl:lncRNA